rnacentral:tRNA from 1 species
ACCUCGGUAGCUCAGCGGUAGAGCGGCCUCUUGUGUAUAGUUCAACAGGUAGUCGGACGUGGGUUCAAAUCCCGCUCGAGGGA